ACGAAGGGGGCUAGCGUUGUUCGGAAUCACUGGGCGUAAAGGGCGCGUAGGCGGCUUGAUAAGUCUGUCGUGAAAUCCCCGGGCUCAACCUGGGAAUGGCGAUGGAUACUGGCGAGCUAGAGUGUGUCAGAGGAUGGUGGAAUUCCCGGUGUAGCGGUGAAAUGCGUAGAGAUCGGGAGGAACAUCAGUGGCGAAGGCGGCCAUCUGGGACAACACUGACGCUGAAGCACGAAAGCGUGGGGAGCAAACAGGA
rnacentral:rRNA from 1 species